rnacentral:rRNA from 1 species
UGCCCUAGUAACGGCGAGUGAAGCGGCAACAGCUCAAAUUUGAAAUCUGGCCCUCUCGGGGGCCCGAGUUGUAAUUUGCAGAGGGUGCUUUGGCGUCGGCUGUGGUCUAAGUUCCUUGGAACAGGACGUCGCAGAGGGUGAGAAUCCCGUAUGUGGCCGCCAGCCUUCGCCGUGUAAAGCCCCUUCGACGAGUCGAGUUGUUUGGGAAUGCAGCUCUAAAUGGGAGGUAAAUUUCUUCUAAAGCUAAAUAUCUGCCAGAGACCGAUAGCGCACAAGUAGAGUGAUCGAAAGAUGAAAAGCACUUUGGAAAGAGAGUCAAAAAGCACGUGAAAUUGUUGAAAGGGAAGCGCUUGCAGUUAGACAUGCCUUUAGUUGCUCAGCCGGGCUCUUUGGCCCGGUGCACUCUUCUAUCGGCAGGCCAGCAUCAGUCUGGGCGGUCGGAUAAAGGCCUAUUAAACGUGACUCCCCUCGGGGAGAGCUUAUAGGGUAGGCGCCAUGCGACCAGCCUGGACUGAGGUCCGCGCAUCUGCUAGGAUGCUGGCGUAAUAGCUGCAAGCGGCCCGUCUUGAAACACGGACCAAGGAGUCUAACAUCUAUGCGAGUGUUUGGGUGUCAAGCCCGGGCGCGUAAUGAAAGUGAACGGAGGUGGGAUCCCCCCCGGGGUGCACCAUCGACCGAUCCUGAUGUCUUCGGAUGGAUUUGAGUAAGAGCAUAGCUGUUGGGACCCGAAAGAUGGUGAACUAUGCCUGAAUAGGGUGAAGCCAGAGGAAACUCUGGUGGAGGCUCGCAGCGGUUCUGACGUGCAAAUCGAUCGUCAAAUUUGGGCAUAGGGGCGAAAGACUAAUCGAACUAU